GUGUGUGUGUGUGUGUGCGUCAGUGUGUGUGUCUUCGUUAAUGUAUUCCUCUAUCUGGCUCCUGGGAGUGUGUGCGUGUGGUAGUCAUGGAUUUUGCUCUUUACCUCUCCAGUCUGCUCUCUGUUUUCAUCCACUGCUCAGUGGCAUAGAUGAAGAGUGACGCAAAAAAACACGCUGCCAAUCAGAUGACUUUGAAGGAGUACCUGGAGGUCCCACCCCACCAUCCAGUCCACACAUCUACCCGCAUCAGUCCUCCACUCCUGUACGGACUACUCUACCACCAGCUGGGCCUCUGUCCGAGGCCAUGACACKAGUGCCCGGCCUGGCCUCUGUCCGUGCCCGACACCUGUGCCCGGCUGGGCCUCUGUUCAUGAUCUCCACACCUAUGCUCGGCUGUCACUCAGUUAGACCCAUCCUCUGCUCCUUACGGGCUGGGCAUUCUGAUGGAGCCAGCGAUCAGUCGCUCUCCAUUUUAUAAUUAUUUAUAAUUGUCAUUAUUUGUGUUAAAUUGUUUGUCCCUCUGUGGUGUUUAUUUAACUGUAUAUACAGCAUCAUACUCAAAAGUUUUCUCCCCUUCCUCUUAAUUCACUCUGAGCAUAAAAGCCCUAAGCUGAAUUCUGUAAUUACAUUUCAACCGAUUAAUGUCAGUCUUUGAAUGCUGUAUAAACUAUUUAAUUUUCCUGCUUGUGUGCUAUGUGCACUGAUUUCAAACAAUUAAAAUGAUGUUUAUCAUUCUCAGUCUUC